UACGUAGGGGGCAAGCGUUGUCCGGAUUUAUUGGGCGUAAAGAGCGUGUAGGCUGCCAGGUAGGUCCGUUGUGAAAACUCGAGGCUCAACCUCGAGACGUCGGCGGAAACCCUCUGGCUAGAGUCCGGAAGAGGAGAGUGGAAUUCCUGGUGUAGCGGUGAAAUGCGCAGAUAUCAGGAAGAACACCAAUGGCGAAGGCGGUGCUCUGGGCCGGAACUGACGCUGAGGAGCGAAAGCGUGGGGAGCAAACAGG
rnacentral:rRNA from 1 species